AUAGUAGCAUGAUUUAUAAUCCUUUGGGUAUACACCCAGUAAUGGGAUCGCUGGGUCAAAUGGUAUUUCUAGUUCUAGAGCCUUGAGGAAUUGCCACAUUGUCUUCCACAAUGUUUGAACUAGUUUACACUCCCAAAGGGCUGGAAUAAACUUUUUCCCACUCCAGUUGAUGUUGAUAUUUUGACCUUCUCCCAUGAAUUACAGAUGUUGUUAAUGACUUUUUCAAUGGUGAAUCAUUUCCAGAAGGCUCUCCAUUUCCUUUCCCAGAUCCAUCAGAGGAAUCAUUACCUAUGGCUGCCAUAGUCCUACAAAAUGUACUUCUUAAAUAAUAUGACUUGAAAAUUGAAAUUACUCUUUGAUCCACGGGCUACAGAAUGGAUGGUGUGUUAGCAGGCAUGUAAACAACAUUAAUUUCCUUAUACAUCUCCAUCAGAGCUCUUGGGUGACCAGGUAUAUUCUCAACGAGCAGUAAUGUAUUGAAAGGAAUCUUUUUUUUUUUUUUUGAGCAGUAGGUCUGAACAGUGGGCUUAAAAUAUUUAAUAAACGGUGCUGUCAACAAAUGUGCUGUUAUCCAGGCUUUGUUGUUCCAUGUAUAGAACACAGGUAGAGUAGAUUUAGCAUCAUUCUUAAGGGGCCUAGGAUUUUCAAAAUGGUCAAUGAGCAUUGGCUUCCACUUAAAGUCACCAGCUGCAUUACCUCCUAACACAAGAGUCAGCCUGUCCUUUGAAACUUUGAAGCCAGGCAUUGACUUCUCCUCUCUAGCUGUGAAAGUCCUAGAUGGCAUCUUCUUCCAAUAGAAGGCUUUUUUUCUACACAGAAAAUCUGUGUUUAGUGUGACCACUUUCAUCAAUUAAUGAUCUUAGCUAGUUCUUCUGGAUAACUUACUACAGAUUCUCCAUCAGCGCUUGCUCCUUCACCUUGUACUGUCAUGUUCUGGAGAUGGCUUCUUGGCUUCUUCCUAUAAACCUCAUGAACCAACCUCUGCUGGCUUCAAACUUUUCUCCUGAAGCUUCCUCA
rnacentral:lncRNA from 10 species